GUCAGUCCCCUCGAAGCCCGGUUGCCGUGGAAGCCGCGUGGGGCGCCUUCCUCAGCUCUUCAGUUGAGGGUACCGGGGGAUCAAGGGCUCGGGGGCCCACUUCCACCUUGAAGCCAUUCCUUUUAUUUGGAGAGGGAAAUACUUCAGCUCCGGGAAUGAGCCUGCAGAAAACCCGGUGACGCCGAUGCUGCGGCAUCUUAUGUACAAAAUAAAGUCUACUGGUCCCAUCACUGUGGCCGAGUACAUGAAGGAGGUGUUGACUAAUCCAGCCAAGGGUUAUUAUGUGUACCGUGACAUGCUAGGCGAAAAAGGAGAUUUCAUUACUUCACCUGAAAUAAGUCAAAUCUUUGGGGAGCUACUAGGUAUAUGGUUCAUUAGUGAAUGGAUGGCCACUGGAAAAAGCACAGCUUUCCAGCUGGUGGAACUGGGCCCAGGUAGGGGAACCCUCGUGGGAGAUAUUUUGAGGGUGUUCACUCAACUUGGAUCUGUGCUGAAAAAUUGUGACAUUUCAGUACAUCUGGUAGAGGUAAGCCAAAAAUUAAGUGAGAUUCAAGCAUUGACACUGACUGAAGAGAAGGUCCCAUUAGAGCGAAAUGCUGGAUCCCCAGUGUAUAUGAAAGGUGUCACUAAGUCUGGGAUUCCAAUUUCCUGGUACCGAGAUCUGCAUGAUGUUCCAAAAGGUAAUUACCUUUAUGUGGAUUAAUGAAAGAAUUUUGAUCACAACCCUCACAGUAUUGAUGGGACUGUAACUUUUUACAGCAAUAUAAUAGAUUGAGUUACUGCUUGCCAAGUCCCUUAUCCAUAGAGAGUAGCCUACUUUUUUCUAGAAAAGAGCAUCUUAAUAGA
rnacentral:sRNA from 1 species